rnacentral:misc_RNA from 1 species
CACUUGAAUAGCAAAGCAAGAAGGCAUUACUAGAUUGUCACAUUGGUCAUCACUAAUAGUUACAUUGAACCAUGAUGGUGACAACAUCAUAGCAUCAUGUGACCAAUUCAACGAAAUGAUCCUAGAAAAAGGAUUGAUGCGUGAUGGGAUUGUUGCAGGGUUGGCUAAUGAGGGUGUGGAUUGGAUUGUGUUGUGCUCUUUGUAAUCCUUGUAACAG